rnacentral:rRNA from 1 species
CCUACGGGUGGCAGCAGUGAGGAAUAUUGGUCAAUGGACGAGAGUCUGAACCAGCCAAGUAGCGUGAAGGAUGACUGCCCUAUGGGUUGUAAACUUCUUUUAUAUGGGAAUAAAAGGUUCAACGUGAGGGAUUUCGUAUGUACCAUAUGAAUAAGGAUCGGCUAACCUCGUGCCAGGCGCGGCGGUAAUAUGGAGGAUCCGAGCGUUAUCCGGAUUUAUUGGGUUUAAAGGGAACGGAGGUGGGAUUUUAAGUCCGUUGUGAAAGUUUUCGGAUUAACCGGAGAAGUGCAGUUGAAACUGGGAGACUUGAGUACAGAAAAGGGGGGGGGAAUUCCAGGGGUAGCGGUGAAAUGCUUAGAUA